GGCUCUGCAGUUGCCUAGCAGCAGCAACAACUUGUUUUUCUUCAUCCCCUGGACCUGACAGUAGCCAAGAAGAUUGAAAGUGCCGGUCUACCAGAGGCGAUAUCUGUAGCAUGCUGGACAUAACAUGGCAGGGCUGGCCCAAGACAUUUUAGCACCCGAGGUGGACCAGGGAAGAAGGGGUGAGGGAAGAGUUACAUGUGACUCAUGUCACUUUUACUUGCCAAACAGCACCCACUUUCUGUCCAAUAGCGCUCUUGAGAGAAAAUGGCCAAGUUGACUUGUAGGAAGCAGAACUGA